GACGAACGCUGGCGGCGUGCUUAACACAUGCAAGUCGAACGGUAAGGCCCUUCGGGGUACACGAGUGGCGAACGGGUGAGUAACACGUGGGUGAUCUGCCCUGCACUUCGGGAUAAGCCUGGGAAACUGGGUCUAAUACCGGAUAGGACUCCUGGCUUCAUGGUUGGGGGUGGAAAGCUUUUGCGGUGUGGGAUGGGCCCGCGGCCUAUCAGCUUGUUGGUGGGGUAAUGGCCUACCAAGGCGACGACGGGUAGCCGGCCUGAGAGGGUGACCGGUCACACUGGGACUGAGAUACGGCCCAGACUCCUACGGGAGGCAGCAGUGGGGAAUAUUGCACAAUGGGCGCAAGCCUGAUGCAGCGACGCCGCGUGAGGGAUGACGGCCUUCGGGUUGUAAACCUCUUUCAGCUAUGACGAAGCGCAAGUGACGGUAGUAGCAGAAGAAGGACCGGCCAACUACGUGCCAGCCGCCGCAGUAA
rnacentral:rRNA from 1 species